rnacentral:rRNA from 1 species
AUUGAACGCUGGCGGCAUGCUUUACACAUGCAAGUCGAACGGUAACGGGUUAAGCUGACGAGUGGCGAACGGGUGAGUAAUGCAUCGGGACGUGCCCGAUCGUGGGGGAUAACACUUCGAAAGAAGUGCUAAUACCGUAUACGAUCUGAGGAUGAAAGCGGGGGACCGUAAGGCCUCGCGCGAUCGGAGCGGCCGAUGUCAGAUUAGGUAGUUGGUGGGGUAAAGGCUCACCAAGCCGACGAUCUGUAGCUGGUCUGAGAGGACGACCAGCCACACUGGGACUGAGACACGGACCAGACUCCUACGGGAGGCAGCAGUGGGGAAUUUUGGACAAUGGGCGCAAGCCUGAUCCAGCAAUGCCGCGUGCAGGAAGAAGGCCUUCGGGUUGUAAACUGCUUUUGUACGGAGCGAAAAGGCUCCCUCUAAUACAGGGGGCUCAUGACGGUACCGUAAGAAUAAGCACCGGCUAACUACGUGCCAGCCGCCGCAGUAA